CGCUCUGGAGGCGUGUUUAGUGUCCGUGAGCCGCUCUGGAGGCGUGUUUAGUGUCCGUGAGCCGCUCUGGAGGCGUGUUUAGUGUCCGUGUGCCGCUCUGGAGGCGUGUUUAGUGUCCGUGUGCCGCUCUGGAGGUGUGUUUAGUGUCCGUGAGCCCCUCUGGAGAUGUGUUUAGUGUCCGUGUGCCGCUCUGGAGGUGUGUUUAGUGUCCGUGUGCCGCUCUGGAGGUGUGUUUAGUGUCCGUGUGCCGCUCUGGAGGUGUGUUUAGUGUCCGUGUGCCGCUCUGGAGGUGUGUUUAGUGUCCGUGUGCCGCUCUGGAGGUGUGUUUAGUGUCCGUGAGCCGCUCUGGAUGCAUGUUUAGUGUCCGUGUGCCGCUCUGGAGGCGUGUUUAGUGUCCGUGAGCCGCUCUGGAGGCGUGUUUAGUGUCCGUGAGCCGCUCUGGAGGCGUGUUUAGUGUCUGUCUGCCGCUCUGGAGGCGUGUUUAGUGUCUGUGUGCCACACUAAAGGUCAUCCGCUGGAGGAGAUACUCACAGGUUUGUGUAGUCUGCCUGCUACAUACAGGGUUUUCCAGUGGAGCAGGUCUUCG